AGUAAUGCGUUGGGAAUCUAGCUUAGGGAGGGGGAUAACGACGGGAAACUGUAGCUAAUACCGCGUAAUAUCGGAAGAUUAAAGUGUGGGACCUUCGGGCCACAUGCCAUAGGAUGAGCCCAAGUGGGAUUAGGUAGUUGGUGAGGUAAAGGCUCACCAAGCCGACGAUCUCUAGCUGGUCUGAGAGGAUGACCAGCCACACUGGGACUGAGACACGGCCCAG
rnacentral:rRNA from 1 species